rnacentral:tRNA from 1 species
GCCACCAUAGUUCAGUGGUUAGAGCACUGGUCUUGUAAAAACCAGGGGUCGUGAGUUCAAACCUCACUGGUGGUU